rnacentral:lncRNA from 1 species
CUCUGCUCAGGUGCAAGGGGCCCCGAGGCCGCCCUGUCCUGCCCCCUCCCCAGGGAGAGUGAGCCUGCUCUGGGCUGCGGUCAGAGCUGCCCGAGGGCUAGCCUGGGACCCCUUGCCCGGGGCUGUCCCUGGAAGGGGCUGGGGCCGCACCUCGUGUUCCGGUCCUGGUCUCGGAUCUUCUUCUCCAUCUCGGCGUCCGUCAGGGUCUCCAGCAGCGGGCACCACUGGUCAGCGUCCCCCGUGUUCCGGAUGGCAAUCUCCACCGUGGGCAGGGGGUUCUCGCUGUGGAAGAUGGGAGAGGUAGACGGCUCGCAGAGCAGCUGCAGGAGAGGCCCCCAGAAAGCAGUGUCCACCCCCCGCAGGCAGACAGGACGUGGAGCCUGGUUUCUGCGCCCGGCUCCCGACACAGGGUGGCCGGGCACGCUGCCAACAUUGCAUCUCAGAUCUGCACGGGGGGAGGGGUCCACAGGACAGUGCUGCGGGCCCAGCCAUUCCCAGUGGGCCUGCAGGGAGGAGGAGGGCUGUCCGCCCCGCUCAGCGUCCAGGAGAAAGGAGAGCGAAGGAGUCCAUCCACCCAGGAGUGGGGUCCCAGGGCCCCUGCCCUGACCAGCCCGCAGGGGGCUCCUCGGCCCACGUCACCAGGCCCAGAAGCCAUAAGCCCUGACUGCUCCACGCCGGGGCCCGACAAAGAUGCGCCCAGACUCCAUCCGAGGAGUCUGCACACCCUCUGGCGAAGUGGACUCAGGGCUGGGGAUCAGCCUCAGUGAGGCGCUGCCUCUGCCUGGAGAGCCAGGCCCAGCCCGCCGCCCCAGGAGUCAGCCUGCCGGGAGCCCUACAGAGUCAGCCCCCAGAGGGAGGGUGGGGGUCCCCAGGGGACAGCACAGGAAAAAACAGGCCCCUGGCCUUAGUUUUAACUCCUCAUCUGGAAAAUGGGGACAGUGUCCUUGCUGCGAGGAGUUUCAGAGGACCACUGCCACCAAACAGCCAGCACACACCCACUGCGUGGGGGGCUCGGCCCAAGCCUGUGAGGGGACCCCCUCCGAGUCCCCCUGCUGCACAGCAGUGAGAGGUGCAUUCUGA